CUAACACAUGCAAGUCGAGCGGCAGCGAGGUUAGUAGCAAUACUAAUUGUCGGCGAGCGGCGGACGGGUGAGGAACACGUAGGGAUCUGCCUUAGAGAGGGGGAUAACCAAGGGAAACUUUGGCUAAUACCGCAUAAACUCGGGAGAGAAAAGCUGCCUGCAAGGGUGGCGCUUUAAGAGGAGCCUGCGUCCGAUUAGCUAGUUGGUAGGGUAAAGGCCUACCAAGGCGAUGAUCGGUAACUGGUCUGAGAGGACGACCAGUCACACUGGGACUGAGACACGGCCCAGACUCCUACGGGAGGCAGCAGUGGGGAAUCUUGGACAAUGGGGGCAACCCUGAUCCAGCGAUGCCGCGUGGGUGAAGAAGGCCUUCGGGUUGUAAAGCCCUUUAGGUUGGGAAGAAGUGCAUAAGUUUAAGAGAUGUAUGCAUUGACGGUACCGACAGAAUAAGCACCGGCAAACUCUGUGCCAGCAGCCGCGGUAA
rnacentral:rRNA from 1 species